UGGGGAAUAUUGGACAAUGGGGGCAACCCUGAUCCAGCAAUGCCGCGUGUGUGAAGAAGGUCUUCGGAUUGUAAAGCACUUUCGACGGGGACGAUGAUGACGGUACCCGUAGAAGAAGCCCCGGCUAACUUCGUGCCAGCAGCCGCGGUAAUACGAAGGGGGCUAGCGUUGCUCGGAAUGACUGGGCGUAAAGGGCGUGUAGGCGGUUUACACAGUCAGAUGUGAAAAUCCCCGGGCUUAACCUGGGAGCUGCAUUUGAUACGUGUAUG
rnacentral:rRNA from 1 species